rnacentral:misc_RNA from 1 species
UCUCCGUAGGUGAAUCUGCGGAGGGAUCAUUACUGAGUGAGGGCCUUCGGGCUCGACCUCCAACCCUUUGUGAAUCGUACUCGUUGCUUCGGGGGCGACCCCGCCGUUUCGGCGGUGGCGCUCCCGGUGGCCAAUUAUUAAACUCUGCAUCUCUUGCGUCGGAGUCUUAAAGAAAUUUAAACAAAACUUUCAACAACGGAUCUCUUGGUUCUGGCAUCGAUGAAGAACGCAGC